GAGUUUGAUCGUGGCUCAGAUUGAACGCUGGCGGCAUGCCUUACACAUGCAAGUCGAACGGCAGCACGGGAGCUUGCUCCUGGUGGCGAGUGGCGAACGGGUGAGUAAUGCAUCGGAACGUAUCCUGGAGUGGGGGAUAACGUAGCGAAAGUUACGCUAAUACCGCAUAUUCUGUGAGCAGGAAAGCGGGGGACCUUCGGGGCCUCGCGCUCUUGGAGCGGCCGAUGUCGGAUUAGCUAGUUGGUGAGGUAAAGGCUCACCAAGGCGACGAUCCGUAGCAGGUCUGAGAGGAUGAUCUGCCACACUGGAACUGAGACACGGUCCAGACUCCUACGGGAGGCAGCAGUGGGGAAUUUUGGACAAUGGGGGCAACCCUGAUCCAGCCAUGCCGCGUGAGUGAAGAAGGCCUCGG
rnacentral:rRNA from 1 species